AACGUAGGAGGCAAGCGUUAUCCGGAGUUACUGGGCGUAAAGCGUAUGUAGGCGGUUGGGCAAGUGGCGUGUGAAAGCUCCCGGCUAAACUGGGAGACGACAGGUCAGACUGCUCGACUCGAGUCCGAUAGAGGAGCGUAGAAUUCCGGGAGUAGCGGUGAAAUGUGUAGAGAUCCGGAGGAAUACCAGUGGCGCAAGCGGCGCUCUGGGUCGGGACUGACGCUGAGAUACGAAAGCGUGGGGAGCGAACGGG
rnacentral:rRNA from 1 species